rnacentral:lncRNA from 10 species
GAGAGGAUUGGGAGCACUUCAGAGAAAAGAUCUGAGAGAAAAGCCUGGGACUCUGCCACCCAGCUCCCUGGCCCCUGGGAGAAGCCAUGGCAGAUAUUUGGGAUGAGGCAGCAUGCUGGUCCCUCAGCAGCAUCCUUAUCACGUCAGCUGUGAGAGAAAUAAAACUGUGAGACUGUGAAGUGUAUAAAGGAUUCUACCGCUCUCCCGGGGCUUGGAGACCCACAGAUUGGAGAAACCACCGGAGAGGCCCUCGAUUAAAGUUGGAGACAUCUCAAGAUGGGAGAAGCCUAGAUCCCCAUGUCACGGCUUGAAGGAGAGCCACCAGGAAAGCUGCCAGAAGAGAAAUAUCUUUAUUGGUCUCAGCAUGCAGGAGAAAUUAACUUUUAUUGGAUUAAUCCUUCGAGAUUUGAGAUGGCUGUUGAUGGACGGCUGUCCCCUGCACACCGACAGAAACAUCUUCGUGCUAGGUUUGCCCAGCUGAACACAUGCCACAGCUGAUCCGUCUGUUGAGCAGGCCGCACACCACUGCUGAUCAAUCUUCACAUGCCAAUUAUGUGAUGUGGAGUGGGCUGGGAGGAGCAUGCACAGGUGA